GGGGCGUUUCAGUUCAUGGGGGGGGGGUUGGGAGCUGCUUGUGGACAGUUGGGGUCUGCAUCAAGGUAUGGUUGGGGCCUGCGUCUGGGGGUGGUUUGGGGCCUGCUCGUAGACUUCUGCAGCCUGCGUCUCGUGUUUGGGGGCUUUUCUGUAGCGUUUGGGGCCUGCAUUUUGGCUUUGGGAUGUGCUUGGGGCCUGCGUCUGGGGCUUUUCUGUAGCAUUUUGGUCGCAUGUUUGUGAUUUGGGGUCUGUAUCCAGGGUUUUGCCUUUUUGUAGUUUUCAGCUUUGUGUCUGUUUCUUUGUCAUUUAUAACAGUUGUCUGGGGUUAGGGGCAGUUUGGGGUUUGGAUCAUUAGUGUCAUUAGCGUUGGGGGGUUGAUAUGAAGGGUUAGGGUUGUGGUUAGAGUUGUUAGGGUUAAAGGGAAUAAGGAUUUUAGGGUAAGGGGAUCAAGGUUGUGGGAAUAAAAAUGUUUUGCACAGAGUUACAUCGUGUAGAGGGAAGGAAGGUGGUAUUGAGAUAUGCUUGCAGUGAUAAGAAAGCUUAACAGACAACCUUGUAAAAUGCAGACAACCACAAUCCUUAGAGCAAUUGGGUGGAAAUCACAGUGUAAGAAACAUACCCACCUCAAAGAGGAAAACAGUCAAGAAAAAAGAAAAUUGACUUGUAACACGCCAGCAGCUGUGUGUUUUCUGUGAAGCACCGGCUAGAUUGCGAACCUGGAUUACCCAGACAAUGGGGAAACUGGGAGGGUCCCGAUCAUCGAGAGGAAAAAAAAAUUUAUAUGAACUAUGUUAUGGAACUAGUAGGUGGCUUGUGGGACGCCUGCCAUUGCAAUCGUGAAUAAAAAUGCUACUUCACUGAGA